rnacentral:rRNA from 1 species
GACGAACGCUGGCGGCGUGCUUAACACAUGCAAGUCGAACGGAAAGGCCCUGCUUGCCGGGUACUCGAGUGGCGAACGGGUGAGUAACACGUGGGUGAUCUGCCCUGCACUUCGGGAUAAGCCUGGGAAACUGGGUCUAAUACCGGAUAGGAGCCAUUUUUAGUGUGAUGGUUGGAAAGUUUUUUCGGUGUAGGAUGAGCUCGCGGCCUAUCAGCUUGUUGGUGGGGUAAUGGCCUACCAAGGCGGCGACGGGUAGCCGGCCUGAGAGGGUGGACGGCCACAUUGGGACUGAGAUACGGCCCAGACUCCUACGUGAGGCAGCAGUGGGGAAUAUUGCACAAUGGGCGCAAGCCUGAUGCAGCGACGCCGCGUGGGGGAUGACGGCCUUCGGGUUGUAAACUCCUUUCGCUAGGGACGAAGCUUUUGUGACGGUACCUAGAUAAGAAGCACCGGCUAACUACGUG